UUCAGAAGCAGGAAGAAAUCAUUGAAGCUUCCUAUGGAGUCAUGAUUGCUCGGGUUGAUCUUGGAGUUGAAAUCCCACUCGAACAGAUUCCAAUAGUCCAAGAGGAAAUAACUCAAGUGUAGGCAGCUAAACAAUGUUUUGUAGCUUCUCAACUACUUGAAUCAAUGAUUGAAUACCCAACCCCAACACACUUUGAGUGCCAUGAUGAAUAUCUCCUCUGCCUUCACUGAUCAGAAAAGAAGAUUUUUUCCUCGCCUUGGUUUUGGAUUGGACAAUCAGUGUGAUGAACCAGUUUCAAAGAAACCGUGUGCUUCCCCAUCCAUGGACUACACACAAUUAAGAAGAGCUACUAGAUUGCAAAAUACUAUCAGAGGUUUUAAAGAGCUUAGAAAAGAUGGUGCCUAACUUGAAAAUUUUCACCUAUGAACGAUUGGAUCGGUUAAAAAGAACUGCCAUCUUCACUGAAUGUGAAGUGAGAAUGUGACAAGAGUCAGUAAUCUACAAGUGAAGGAGAAUAUUUAACAUAUGUGAAUGUUCCUUUCUGA